CGGCGUCGCGAGGCGGCCGCGGGCGGGGCCUCGGCUCCGUUCGAGGAAAGUCCGAGCACGACAGGACACGGUGGUGGGUCACACCCACCCGGGCCGAGCCGGCUGGGCCCGAGGGACAGUGCCACAGAAAGCAAACCGCCGAUGGCGUCGGGCUUCGGCCCGGCGCACAGGUAAGGGUGAAAGGGUGCGGUAAGAGCGCACCGCCCGCUUGGUGACAAGCGGGGCACGGUAAACCCCACCGCGUGCAAGCCCAAGCAGGCCUCGGCCUCGGUUUCGACCGGGGCGCCGCCGGUCCGGCGGAUGAGGCCGGGUCGGGUGCUACGGGCGGUCCGGCGAAAGCCGGGGCGUCCGACCGGCGUCGGCAACGGCGUCGGCAGAGAAAUGGCCGUCGGCUCCGAAAGGUCGAGACCGGGUUCGCCCGGGCCCGAAACCGGCGGGGCGCACAGAACUCGGCUUACCGCGACGUCGGCCG
rnacentral:RNase_P_RNA from 1 species